rnacentral:rRNA from 1 species
UACGGAGGGUGCGAGCGUUAAUCGGAAUUACUGGGCGUAAAGGGUGCGUAGGUUGUUGAUUAAGUUAUCUGUGAAAUACCUGGGCUUAACCUGGGCAGGUCAGAUAAGACUGAUUGACUCGAGUAUAGGAGAGGGUAGUGGAAUUUCCGGUGUAGCGGUGAAAUGCGUAGAGAUCGGAAGGAACAUCGGUGGCGAAGGCGGCUACCUGGCCUGAUACUGACACUGAGGCACGAAGGCCAGGGGAGCAAACGGG